CUCGCUCUUUCAGCAGUCUUUCACAAAUCAUCCCAACUUGUCGGAGGGAAAAUAAAGGCUGCUCUUUUCUGGUGGGAGAUGAGGCACCUGAAGACCUACCUGGUACAGCAGAUCCACUGUCAACAUUCUGCAGGUCCAGAGGACAGCAGCUGUCUGCCUGCUGGAAGGUGUCCAGGUGUCGUCGUUUCUGCAGCCGCUUGUACUCCUGUUUGAUGUUGUGUAGAAUUUGCUCUGAAACAAAGAAAAACAUUAGCUCCAUUAUAUCAGUGAAAUCGUCACACAUAGGUGCUGCAUUUGUAUGUAGAAUCCAUUGCAUAAUUCACAAAUUUGACAAUUUAAUGUGGCCUUGCUGAUGCAGUACAUCAUGACCUUAGACACUUAAAGAGACAGUGUAAAUCAUUCUCCAGUUCAGUGAGCAUCAAAUACUGCAUACAUGUAUUAAGCAGGCCUAUACACAAUAGCAUCACAAACCUUACUUUCCUGUUAUUCCCACACUAUACUCCCCCAAACCACUGUC